rnacentral:tRNA from 1 species
GCUGAAGUGGCGGAAUAGGCAGACGCGCAUGAUUCAGGGUCAUGUGGGCAAAAGCCCGUGGGGGUUCGACUCCCCCCUUCAGCACCA